rnacentral:rRNA from 1 species
CCUACGGGAGGCAGCAGUGGGGGAUAUUGCACAAUGGGGGGAACCCUGAUGCAGCGACGCCGCGUGGGUGAAGAAGCGCCUCGGCGCGUAAAGCCCUGUCAGCAGGGAAGAAAAUGACGGUACCUGAAGAAGAAGCCCCGGCUAACUACGUGCCAGCAGCCGCGGUAAUACGUAGGGGGCAAGCGUUAUCCGGAUUUACUGGGUGUAAGGGGGGCGCAGACGGCGAUGCAAGCCAGGAGUGAAAGCCCGGGGCCCAACCCCGGGACUGCGCUUGGAACUGCGUGGCUGGAGUGCGGGAGGGGCAGGCGGAAUGCGUGGUGUAGCGGUGAAAUGCGUAGAUAUCAGGAGGAACACCGGUGGCGAAGGCGGCCUGCUGGAGUGCAACUGACGGUGAGGCCCGAAAGCGUGGGGAGCAAACAGGAUUAGAUACCCCGGUAGUC